UACGGAGGGUGCGCGCGUUCAUCGGAAUUACUGGGCGUAAAGCGUCAGUAGGCGGCUUGUUAAGUCUGAUGUGAAAGCCCUGGGCUUAACCUGGGAACGGCAUUGGAUACUGGCGAGCUAGAGUUCGGUAGAGGGUGGUGGAAUUCCCGGUGUAGCGGUGAAAUGCGUAGAGAUCGGGAGGAACACCGGUGGCGAAGGCGGCCACCUGGACCGAGACUGACGCUGAGGGACGAAAGCGUGGGGAGCAAACAGG
rnacentral:rRNA from 1 species